UCCCGCCGGCCGAGCCGUUCCCGCCCCGGGCCAGGCUCUCCCCCUCAUCCCCCAACCCCCCCGGGCCUCCCGAGGGGGGCUCGCCCCUUGGCCCCCGUAACGCGGCGCUGCCGGGCAGCCACCUCAACUCGCCCUGCGAGGCGGGAAGCGAGAGCAGCCGGUGCCCGCCUCUCCUGCGGUCGGAUCCGGAAAGGUGGACCCUCUGGCAGCCGGAGAAGAGGCGGAAAGCUUGCCCGGUCUUCCGGGCCGAGUGGCCUGAACCCCAUUCCGAUCCGCGAUGGGCGACUGCAAAUGCAUCUGCUGGUGCGCGGUGUGGUUCGUGGUGCUGCUUGUCUUGGCCUGGCCCGUCAGUCUCUUCCUGGCCCUCCUGUUCGGGGUCAUAGCCCCCAUCACCACCCUCCUGGCGCUCGACGACGUCAGCGAAGCCCUUCUAAAAGGAGCGAACCUGGGCCGAAAAUGUGCCCUGAACGCCAUCAACGGCAAACCUCUCUUCUAAGGCCUCCCUCCCUCCCGGCCUCCUGCCGGCCCCUGGACUCCCUCCCACCCCGACUCUGCCUUCAGCCCCACCGCCCUGUCGCCGGACGGACAUUCUCGGGACAGACGACUUAGUUAUCUCAGACAACUAUCUUCCAUUCGCGAAGGGGGAGGGUCCCGGGCUCCCGGCGAGGUCAGCGGCCGGACUCGCUGCGGGCCGGCAGCCGGGGCACUCCCCGUGCCAGCCUGGCUCUCAGACCCCAGCAGAAUGCAGACGGCGCCUUCCUCCCGAAAUAAAACUCUGUGUGUGCGCGUGUGUGAGUGAGUGAUCACGCGUGGGUACGUGUGGGUCGCGAAGCCCAGGCAGACCGUCUGGCCGGGGGUGCCAACAAGCCCCACCUAAUAAAGACCCAGCUUUCCCUCCA